rnacentral:rRNA from 1 species
GACAGAGGGUGCAAACGUUGUUCGGAUUUACUGGGCGUAAAGGGCGCGUAGGCGGCCAGCACAAGUCAGUUGUGAAAUCUCCGAGCUUAACUCGGAAAGGUCAACUGAUACUGUGCGGCUAGAGUGCGGAAGGGGCAACUGGAAUUCUUGGUGUAGCGGUGAAAUGCGUAGAUAUCAAGAGGAACACCUGCGGCGAAGGCGGGUUGCUGGGCCGACACUGACGCUGAUGCGCGAAAGCCAGGGGAGCGAACGGG